AGAGUGAACGCUGGCGGUAGGCCUAACACAUGCAAGUCGAACGGCAGCACAGUAGGAGCUUGCUCUUACGGGUGGCGAGUGGCGGACGGGUGAGGAAUACAUCGGAAUCUACCUUUUGGUGGGGGAUAACGUAGGGAAACUUACGCUAAUACCGCAUACGCCCUUCGGGGGAAAGCCGGGGACCAGCAAUGGCCUGGCGCUGAUAGAUGAGCCGAUGUCGGAUUAGCUAGUUGGUGAGGUAAUGGCUCACCAAGGCGACGAUCCGUAGCUGGUCUGAGAGGAUGAUCAGCCACACUGGAACUGAGACACGGU
rnacentral:rRNA from 1 species